UACGUAGGGGGCAAGCGUUGUCCGGAUUUAUUGGGCUUAAAGGGUGCGUAGGCGGCCCUGUAAGUCAGUGCUGAAAUAUCCCAGCUUAACUGGGAGGGUGGCAUUGAUACUGCGGGGCUAGAGUACAGAUGAGGUAGGCGGAAUUGACGGUGUAGCGGUGAAAUGCUUAGAUAUCGUCAAGAACACCUAUAGCGAAGGCAGCUUACUAGGCUGUAACUGACGCUGAGGCACGAAAGUGUGGGGAUCAAACAGG
rnacentral:rRNA from 1 species